rnacentral:rRNA from 1 species
CUAGCUUGCUAGGUGGAUUAGUGGCGCACGGGUGAGUAACGCAUAGAUAACAUGCCCUUUAGUUUGGGAUAGCCACUAGAAAUGGUGAUUAAUACCAAAUACUACCCUAUGGGGGAAAGAUUUAUCGCUAAAGGAUUGGUCUAUGUCCUAUCAGCUUGUUGGUGAGGUAAAGGCUCACCAAGGCGAUGACGGGUAUCCGGCCUGAGAGGGUGAACGGACACACUGGAACUGAGACACGGUCCAGACUCCUACGGGAGGCAGCAGUAGGGAAUAUUGCUCAAUGGGCGCAAGCCUGAAGCAGCAACGCCGCGUGGAGGAUGAAGGUUUUAGGAUUGUAAACUCCUUUUGUCAGAGAAGAUCAUGACGGUAUCUCACGAAUAAGCACAA